CAACAUUGUGCAGUAUGAGCGAACCAUUUCACCAAAAAAAGGGGAAGCAAGGCAAGACGUGGCUGCAGCGGUCUGCAGACGUGACUUCUGAUCAAAUUCAAACCUCCUCCUAAAGAAACAAAGAGCGGAAUUACAUUGCGGGAUGACAUCACCUGAAAAUGACCAAUAGCGCGGCGUGCUGCUGAGCUGUGUGCCAACCGCUCUUUUUUUCAUGCAGGAGACUCAAGUUGGCUUCGCUAACGGACACAGUUUUGAACUCGUAUAUUAGCGCCAUUUAUUGCUGCUUGGACCACAGCAUCUUCGGAAUUUGUAGACAUCCUGGCAGCUUACAAUUAGUUCGAGGUGAGACACUGAAUUUGAGCAGAAACCAUUAGGAUACUCAAAGGACCUGUGACUCUCAGGAAAUGCAUCAAAUGAGAGGGACAGAUG
ensembl:lncRNA